rnacentral:rRNA from 1 species
CAGCCGUAAACUAUGCUCGCUAGGUGUCAGGCAUGGCGCGACCGUGUCUGGUGCCGCAGGGAAGCCGUGAAGCGAACCACCUGGGAAGUACGGCCGCAAGGCUGAAACUUAAAGGAAUUGGCGGGGGAGGCACAACAACGGGUGGAGCCUGCGGUUUAAUUGGACUCAACGCCGGGAAGCUCACCGGAUAAGACAGCGGAAUGAUUGCCGGGCUGAAGACUCUGCAUGACUAGCUGAGAGGAGGUGCAUGGCGUAGACGUCU